UACAAAAACAUGUCUUAUUGAUUAAUAAUUUAUUUUAAGUCUAACCUGCUCGAUGAUUAAUUUAUUAAAUGGCCGCAGUAUUUUGACUGUGCAAAGGUAGCAUAAUCAUUUGUCUUUUAAUUUGAGACUGGAAUGAACGGUUGGACGAAAUAUUGACUUUCUUUACUUUAUUAUUUAUAUGAAUUUAAUAUUUGAGUUAAAAAGCUUAAAUAUAUAAAUAAGACGAGAAGACCCUAUAGAAUUUUAUAUAAAAAUUUAUAUUAUGUUUUUUGGGAUUUGUUCAUGUAUUUAAUUUUUGUAUUUUGUUGGGGUGACAGGGAAAAUUAUUUAACUUUCUUUUUAUAAAUAUUAAUAAUUAUUAUAUUAACGAUCCUUUAUUAUGGAUAUUAAGAUUAAAUUACCUUAGGGAUAACAGCGUAAU
rnacentral:rRNA from 1 species